GACGAACGCUGGCGGCGUGCCUAACACAUGCAAGUCGACAUGAGUGGCGAACGGGAGCGUAAAACGCGGGUAACCUGCCCUCCUUUUUGGGAAAAGCCCUGGAAACGGGGUCUAAUACCGCAUACAGGGGGAUGGGCCCGCGGCCUAUCAGCUAGUUGGUGGGGUGAUGGCCUACCAAGGCGGUGACGGGUAGCCGGCCUGAGAGGGUGACCGGCCACAUUAGGACUGCGAUACGGCCCAGACUCCUACGGGUGGCAGCAGUGGGGGAUUUUGCACAAUGGGCGAAAGCCGGAUGCAGCGACGCCGCGUGGGGGAUGAAUGCUUGCAGGUUGUAAACCUCUUUCGCUAUCGAGCGGGUAGGUGGAGAAGAAGCGCCGGCUAACUACGUGCCAGCAGCCGCGGUAAUUC
rnacentral:rRNA from 1 species